GAUGACCUCCUUUCCUUUUAUAAAUGUGUUUUUUUUUUCCUGCCUCCAGCUUGAGUAGUUUAUCAACACAUAGCAUAAUGAGUGCGCUAUCCAACAUGUGCCAUUUUAACACUAUGAUGUGUUAUGUUUUUGCUGAACCUGCAGGGAUGCAUAGCAACAAUUAUUAUUGUAUUUUGCAAACUAUUGAAACAUGGACAUAUUGUGAUAUUUUCAGUUAAUUGUUGACAGGAAAAAUAAAAUAAAAUAAAAAUCGUGGUGUAAUUCAGUGUGACAGUCUGCAUAGAAAAAUUACCAUAAGGCUUUGACGAUAAUGAGUACUUAGAAACAAUAGAGAUGAAAGAUAUUGAUGUGGUCCAAUAUUCUCAGUGUUGAUAGGAAUGGCAGAGACUAGCAUCUUUCUUUAGAAGCUAAAUGAGCCACUGGUGGUGAUAAUACACGAGAGAUGAAUCUGAAAUCUCAUAAAUGUUCAUUGAUUUGUGAAGAUUGCUUAGACAGAACACCAUCAGUUGGUUCUUUUGGUGUUGAACUUGGUGGAGCAUUUAAAGAACUAAUUGGCAAAAUGGCCCCAAAUCGGCUUGUGUGAAGGCCCAAACUUCAAGCUCCCUGGGCAAUACUGUGGGCCCCAUGGGUUUUUAUGUCCAUGCCUCAAGCCUUAGAAGGCUUCUUCAAAAUAGAAAAAAUAUUUACAAUUCUUUUUGGGUUAGUUUUGAAUAUCAUUGUUGGACAGUUGGAGGGCCUACUUACUUCAUGUGAAGGAUAGGAAGCCUAAAAGGCUAAGAUGUCCUUGGCAACUAUUUUUAAUGUGAGAAUGCUUAGAGACUAAGGGAAACAUAGCCAUAACCCAUGGAUUGGGAUUUCUUAGCAGUAUUCAAAUGGAUUAUGUGGGUCCCACUUGCAUUGGAUGUUUUAGUAGUCCCUAGUUGGAAGGCUAGCUUUGCUGGUUCUCGUAGGCGAUUUCUUUGUUUUUGAGUCUUAGGUGUCUUGGAAGGUUGGUUUUUAGUAAUUUAUGGAAACUAGUCAUUACUUUAAUUCAAAGAAAUUGUGGCUGAGACAAGAUAGGAAACAAGGAGUAACAAGGGGUUUUCAAUGCCUUCUCUCUAGUUGACAAGAAAAGGAAGCUGGUGAGUGGAGGAUAAGCAUCAUGGUGCCUAAUUCCAAGAGCAAAGGAGGAGAUGCAUAAGCUUGCACCAACUAUCAUGUGAUCAAACUGACUCAUAUUAUGAAGCUUUGGGAGAGGGUGGUG